CAUUGUACAGGUCCUGCAGAAGUGACAGAAGCUGUGGUCGCUUUUGGUAGUAAGUUUCUGCUCUUUCUGCAAAAGUAUCACCCAUCUCUUCAUCUUCCAUUGUGUUCAUUGCCAACAUUUUCAUCCUCUCUUCCAGGUCUGCAAUCAAAGACAAAUUUCACAUUUGAAUUAGUACUGUGCAAGAAAAAAAGAACAGAAAGAACAAUGCUUUUCUUUACCUGUUUUACUCAAUUCCAUGGCUUCUUAAACUAAAGCCACAACCCACAUUAUUAUACUAUUGAAAUGCACCAAAAAGAAGGGUUAAUAUAAGUCCAGAUCUCAACUGGGUUGAACUGUUAUUGAGGUCUAGGAAAGUGACAGGCCACCCAACAAUGACACAAGAAAAGGGAACACUGACAAAAACCAUUAAAAAUUCUGGUACACAAGAUAAUAUGUUUUUAUUACAAAACAGUGAAUGACAAUAUGACUAAUUUGAAAAAUAGAAUUUGAAUUGCAAUGUUUUUUUUUUCUCGUCUAAAUCACAUAUAUCAAUAGGGCCACUACUAGGGGGCGACACAACUUUCUCUACCAAAAAUUUAACAUAUUGUAGUUACAUUCACAUAAAUUCAAACCUAAUACAUCUGCUUAAGUUAGAACAACCAAACAUAAGUUGAUCUACAAGUUCGGUAGUAUUUGAAUUAGUGAUUCAUAAACUACUUAACAGUAACAACACCUUCUAUACAUCUUAAUUUUCUCUAUCUCUCUAUUUCAAUCGCAUCACAUUAUAUAUUACAUCCAUAAUUUAUCACUCUCUACUUCCUAUCUCACUGUGUGUAUGCCAUUUAUCAAAGGGUGUACACUGUACACCAUACAUUAUUGUAUUUGAAUUGCAAUUGUAAUGUGGUUGCAGGCAUAGCAUACUAGAGUCUAGUGCUACAUUUGCCUCUGGCUUUGAAUGCAAAGGUCAGCAUCAUGUACUGCACCUGACCUGGGCAUGUGCAACUGUAGAGUGUAAGACAGAAAAGCCCUUAACCUCCAACUUUCCAUUUUUUUUAGAAUAAAACCAAUUAAGUUUAGGAGAAUAUCAGCACGGACCACGAGGCAAAAAUGGAAAGGUCACCGUUACAAGACACACCAAAAUCUAAUGUACACUGCAACAAGCAAGGAAAGGAAGCGUCUUGGAUAGAUGAUGGACAAGGACCAUUUUUCAAAAUUUAAACACCAAUUUAGGGUCUAAAAAAGCUCUGUAAAAGGCAAAAGCCAAACUAAAGAACAAAAAGGUUACGGGGAAAGUGACAAUGGAUCUAGAGCCACAACGACACCAAAGGGUUUCAAAAUCUGGUUCAAAUCAAAUUGGAAAUUUGAAAGCAGAUCCACACCAAAGGGUAGUGUAGACCUGGCAACAGCAACAGCCACCUAUUAAAAAGUCCUAUUCACACUUCAUAGCAACUUUUUCUAUGCACAUGUUUGACAUUUCCAAAUUUGUGUUAUCACUCUCACAGAAAUUUAGCUUACUUAACUUUCUUUUUUUGAAAUUUUACUUAACAUUAAACCAACAUUUUAUUGUUUAAC
rnacentral:lncRNA from 1 species